CAGUCGCCACGGUAAUACCAGCAGCCCAAGUGGUGGUCGCGAUUAUUGGGCCUAAAGCGCUCGUAGCCGGGCCGGUAAGUCCCUUGUGAAAUCGGACGGCCUAACCGUUCGGCGUGCAAGGGAUACUGUCGGUCUUGAGGCCGGGAGACGUCCGAGGUACUCCGGGGGUAGCGGUGAAAUGUUCUGAUCCUCGGGGGACCACCGGUGGCGAAGGCGUUCGACGAGAACGGGCCUGACGGUGAGGGGCGAAGGCUAGGGGAGCGAACGGGAUUAGAGACCCCAGUAGUCCCUGUCUCUUAUA
rnacentral:rRNA from 1 species